rnacentral:rRNA from 1 species
AAGUCGUAACAAGGUUUCCGUAGGUGAACCUGCGGAAGGAUCAUUACUGAAUUGUCAACACGAGUUGUUGCUGGUCCUCAAUGGGGGCAUGUGCACACUCUGUUUACACAUCCACUCACACCUGUGCACCCUCUGUAGUUCUGUGGCUUGGGGGGCUCUGUCCUCCUGCUGUGGUUCUAUAUCUUUACACACGCUCUGUAAUAAAGUCUCAUGGAAUGUAUACCGCGUUUAACGCAAUACAAUACAACUUUCAGCAACGGAUCUCUUGGCUCUCGCAUCGAUGAAGAACGCAGCGAAAUGCGAUAAGUAAUGUGAAUUGCAGAAUUCAGUGAAUCAUCGAAUCUUUGAACGCACCUUGCGCCCUUUGGCUAUUCCGAAGGGCAUGCCUGUUUGAGUAUCAUGAACACCUCAACUCUUCAUGGUUUUCCAUGAUGGGCUUGGACUUUGGGGGUCUUGCUGGCCUGUGGUCAGCUCCUCUCAAAUGAAUCAGCUUUCCAGUGUUUGGCAGCAUCACGGGUGUGAUAACUAUCUACGCUUGUGGUUUUCUGCCAGGUAAUCCUCAGUGAUGGGGAUUUGCUGGGGCUCAUAAACGUCUCUCCUCAGUGAAGACAGCUUU